rnacentral:rRNA from 1 species
GAGAAUGCCGGUGUGAGUAGCGAAAGACGGGUGAGAAUCCCGUCCACCGAUUGACUAAGGUUUCCAGAGGAAGGCUCGUCCGCUCUGGGUUAGUCGGGUCCUAAGCUGAGGCCGACAGGCGUAGGCGAUGGAUAACAGGUUGAUAUUCCUGUACCACCUAUAAUCGUUUUAAUCGAUGGGGGGACGCAGUAGGAUAGGCGAAGCGUGCGAUUGGAUUGCACGUCUAAGCAGUAAGGCUGAGUAUUAGGCAAAUCCGGUACUCGUUAAGGCUGAGCUGUGAUGGGGAGAAGACAUUGUGUCUUCGAGUCGUUGAUUUCACACUGCCGAGAAAAGCCUCUAGAUAGAAAAUAGGUGCCCGUACCGCAAACCGACACAGGUAGUCAAGAUGAGAAUUCUAAGGUGAGCGAGCGAACUCUCGUUAAGGAACUCGGCAAAAUGACCCCGUAACUUCGGGAGAAGGGGUGCUCUUUAGGGUUAACGCCCAGAAGAGCCGCAGUGAAUAGGCCCAAGCGACUGUUUAUCAAAAACACAGGUCUCUGCUAAACCGUAAGGUGAUGUAUAGGGGCUGACGCCUGCCCGGUGCUGGAAGGUUAAGAGGAGUGGUUAGCUUCUGCGAAGCUACGAAUCGAAGCCCCAGUAAACGGCGGCCGUAACUAUAACGGUCCUAAGGUAGCGAAAUUCCUUGUCGGGUAAGUUCCGACCCGCACGAAAGGCGUAACGAUUUGGGCACUGUCUCAACGAGAGACUCGGUGAAAUCAUAGUACCUGUGAAGAUGCAGGUUACCCGCGACAGGACGGAAAGACCCCGUGGAGCUUUACUGUAGCCUGAUAUUGAAAUUCGGCACAGCUUGUACAGGAUAGGUAGGAGCCUUUGAAACGUGAGCGCUAGCUUACGUGGAGGCGCUGGUGGGAUACUACCCUAGCUGUGUUGGCUUUCUAACCCGCACCACUUAUCGUGGUGGGAGACAGUGUCAGGCGGGCAGUUUGACUGGGGCGGUCGCCUCCUAAAAGGUAACGGAGGCGCUCAAAGGUUCCCUCAGAAUGGUUGGAAAUCAUUCAUAGAGUGUAAAGGCAUAAGGGAGCUUGACUGCGAGACCUACAAGUCGAGCAGGGUCGAAAGACGGACUUAGUGAU